rnacentral:rRNA from 1 species
GACGAACGCUGGCGGCGUGCUUAACACAUGCAAGUCGAACGAUGAACCGGUUUCGGCCGGGGAUUAGUGGCGAACGGGUGAGUAACACGUGGGCAAUCUGCCCUGCACUCUGGGACAAGCCCUGGAAACGGGGUCUAAUACCGGAUACGACAUGGGAAUGCAUGUUCCUGUGUGGAAAGCUCCGGCGGUGCAGGAUGAGCCCGCGGCCUAUCAGCUAGUUGGUGGGGUAGAGGCCUACCAAGGCGACGACGGGUAGCCGGCCUGAGAGGGCGACCGGCCACACUGGGAGUGAGACACGGCCCGGACUCCUACGGGAGGCAGCAGUGGGGAAUAUUGCACAAUAGGCGAAAGCCUGAUGCAGCGACGCCGCGUGAGGGAUGACGGCCUUCGGGUUGUAAACCUCUUUCAGCAGGGAAGAAGCUUUCGGGUGACGGUACCUGCAGAAGAAGCACCGGCUAACUACGUGCCAGCCGCCGCCGUAA